GCGGCGUGCGACCGUUCGUGGGACACACUGCCGCGCGCUGUGACCGUUAAGGGCGGACCGACGCCGUGCGCUGUGGCCGUUAAGGGCUGGACGCAGGGGCCCCUGACCCUUCCCCAUGAGGGUGGGAGUCGGCGGGGCUGCUGCCUGCCUCCUCUUCACCCUGAGCGGGUGGCCGCCCGCCCGCGCCAAGUACGACUCGGGCACGGUGGAGACUGACGAGAAAUGGGUAUUUUUGACCAAGUUUUGUUUUCUGGCAACAAAAGGACAAAUCAACUACCAUAUCCGGUAUCCCCAGGAGAAAUAUAAUGUGAAUCUGCUCUUUUACCAUGAUGAAAAAAGCCAAUGGCCUUCAGUGUACAAGAAUAGAUCAAAAGACUGUUGGAGUAAAGAAGCAGUGGCUGCCAUUGAAAAAAAUCAGCUAUUCAACCUCACUCAGAGUUUUCCAUUAUCUGGUUGCCAGGUGAUGGAAGAAAAUGGAAUAAAUUAUACAGACUGUCAAAGAGGACUAGGCUUCAAAUCAGCAAGGGAAAGAUGGUGGUUUCUAGCAGUCAGUAAUUGUAUGGGCGGAGGAAUACGCCUUGAUUAUAAAAUUACUAUGACCAAUGGAAAAACGCUGUGGAGAAGACAUUUUUCUGCAAAUCAGAUAGGCAUAUUUGAAGUCAACAUGCUAUCAAUAAUCCUAUUCAUAAUACUGUUUGGAAUAUCUAUUUAUUUUGCACGUCAGUUGAAGAAGAGAAGCUUGCUGCAUUCUAGUUACCAGAUGCUAAUGGUUUCUAUGGGAACAGAAGUUCUAGGCCGCUUCUUCCUGUGCGUUCACUUUGGUAUUUAUGGAUGCAAUGGAGUUGGUUGUGAAUCCGCCAAAAUGAUCGCUUAUGGAUCCAGGAAAGGUACAGACAGGGUUGGAGUCCCCAUUCGGCUUUGCUGUGACAGCCUUGCAGUUCCUGACUGCACUUUGGUUUUCGUAUUCUACAUAUCAUAUUUUACAGCAGCAUCCUGAGAAACAGCCAUUUUACAGCUAUUUCUUCCCAGCCUUCACCUUUUGGUUUUUUGUGGUGCCAUUCAGUAAUAUUUUGGGACAAUUUAUUAUUGUUCCAUGGAAACGCGAGCGUAUCAUGAACACAGUUUUCCUGUUUUUGAAGUUCUAUGCCUAUGUAGUUAUGCUGUUUCUAGUCAGACCAUUCCAUUCAAAUUCAAGAUUUCCCUACCAUAUUGAUACCUCACGGAUCGCGCUAAUGCGACAUGGAUUGGACUCGCAGGGAAACUUUGAAAAAUUAGGACAUCACUUGUAUAGAAACAUCAGUGUCACCAGUUUUAUCAACAGUGAUUCGGCAGCUCCCAGCCUUAGCAAUAACACUGAUCUUUCACAGUGCACCACCCUGAUGGAAGGGUCCGACGAUGUAGUUCGAGAUCUUUUGGAAAGAAAUAAAAGCCAGAUAGAUACCAG